GACGAACGCUGGCGGCGUGCUUAACACAUGCAAGUCGAACGAAGUGGCGAACGGGUGAGUAACGCGUAAUCAACCUGCCCUUCCGAGGGGGCCAACAGUUGGAAACGACUGCUAAUCCCGCAUACUGAAGGAGGGGAUUGCGUCGGAUUAGCUAGUUGGAGGGGUAACGGCCAACCAAGGCGAUGAUCAGUUGGCGGGCUGAGAGGAGGAACGGCCACAAUGGGACUGAGAAACGGCCCAGACUCCUACGGGAGGCAGCAGUGGGGAAUCUUCCGCAAUGGACGAAAGUCUGACGGAGCAACGCCGCGGGAGUGAUGACGGCCUUCGGGUUGGAAAGCUCUGUUAAUCGGGACGCGGUACCGGAAUAGAAAGCCACGGCUAACUACGUGCCAGCAGCCGCGGUAAUAC
rnacentral:rRNA from 1 species